GUUCAUAAGUAAAAUGAAGGGUCUGUGGAAGGACAUAAAUAAAGCAUAGGAGGUUGAAGUCAGAUUUGCAGCUUUCUGUGCAAGAGACAAGACAACCUGCGUCUUCACAGGAGGAAUGGGCGUGCUCCUGGGGGCAUCACUGCUGAUGCUGUGGCUUCAGCCAGACUGGGUAAAUAGUCAACAGAAGAAUGAUGACCAGCAAGUGAAGCAAAAUCCACCAUCCCUGAGUGUCCAGGAAGGAGGAAUUUCUAUUCUGAACUGUGACUAUACUAACAGCAUGUUUGAUUAUUUCCUAUGGUACAAAAAAUACCCUGCUGAAGGUCCUACAUUCCUGAUAUCUAUACGUUCCAUUAAGGAUAAAAAUGAAGAGGGAAGAUUCACAGUCUUCUUAAACAAAAGUGCCAAGCACCUCUCUCUGCACAUUGGGGCCUCCCAGCCUGGAGACUCUGCAGUGUACCUCUGUGUAGCAAGCGCACAGUGCUCUGCAGGCACCUGCAGCCCAUACUCAAACCUGCUUUGGGGACUCAGACUGGGAGGCACACAGACUCUCUUCCAUUUACACACGGCAGUGUGA